rnacentral:rRNA from 1 species
GACGAACGCUGGCGGCGUGCCUAAUACAUGCAAGUCGAACGCACUCUCGUUUAGAUUGAAGGAGUUUGCUCCUGAUUGAUAAACAUUUGAGUGAGUGGCGGACGGGUGAGUAACACGUGGGUAACCUGCCCUAAAGUGGGGGAUAACAUUUGGAAACAGAUGCUAAUACCGCAUAAAACCUAACACCGCAUGGUGUAGGGUUGAAAGAUGGUUUCGGCUAUCACUUUAGGAUGGACCCGCGGUGCAUUAGUUAGUUGGUGAGGUAAAGGCUCACCAAGACCGUGAUGCAUAGCCGACCUGAGAGGGUAAUCGGCCACACUGGGACUGAGACACGGCCCAGACUCCUACGGGAGGCAGCAGUAGAGAAUCUUCCACAAUGGACGAAAGUCUGAUGGAGCAACGCCGCGUGAGUGAAGAAGGUUUUCGGAUCGUAAAACUCUGUUGUUGGAGAAGAAUGUAUCUGAUAGUAACUGAUCAGGUAGUGACGGUAUCCAACCAGAAAGCCACGGCUAACUACGUG